UACGUAGGGCGCGAGCGUUGUCCGGAAUCAUUGGGCGUAAAGAGCUCGUAGGCGGCCGGUUGCGUCUGCUGUGAAAUCCCGGGGCUUAACCCCGGGCGUGCAGUGGAUACGGGCUGGCUGGAGGCAGGCAGGGGAGAAUGGAAUUCCCGGUGUAGCGGUGAAAUGCGCAGAUAUCGGGAGGAACACCAAUGGCGAAGGCAGCUCGCUGGGACGGUACUGACGCUGAGACGCGAAAGCGUGGGGAGCAAACAGG
rnacentral:rRNA from 1 species